ensembl:lncRNA uncharacterized LOC114849730
GACACAGCAAUACUUCCAGGGAACAGGGAGACAAGACAAGGAACUAGUAGAGAGGAUCUAUCAGGUCCUCAUCAAGGAACAGCAACAAGGAAAUUCUCAGAGUUCGGCAACCCAGUUACAAUAGAGCAGCAUCUGCAACAUGUCCAGCACCAGAUGGAAAUGCAACACCACUAGCAGCCCAACUCCCCCAGUCAGCAAAACAGACCUAAAGAUCACAACUGGCAGUUUGGAGGAUGAGCAGGUGAAUGUGCUGGUGGCCCCCAUUAUAAACAGGAAGCUUACAUCCACGAAAAUUGGUAAAAGUCUGUUGAGAAAAGGAGGCCAAAUAAUGGAAAGAAACUUUAAUUCGAUGGCAGAAAAGGCGAACUUUUCCCCAGGAGAUGUAAUGCAAGUCAAUGCACCUUCAUCUGUGGGUUGCUCCAAGAUCUUCUUCAUUGAAUGCCUGCCAUGGGAUGGAGUCAUGUGCAGAAGCAUGAAGGCUCUUGGUGAUGGACUGAAGAGGUGUUUGCACCUCUGUGUACAACAGGGCUGGUGUUCAGUGGCAUUUCCUGUUAUUGGACCUGGGGUGGCUUUAAAGUUCCCACUGAGAGAAGCCAAUAAAGUGUUGACAGACAAGAUUCAUCAGUUUGGAUUAUCUGCAUCCCCCGGGUCUCUUGCCUCCAUUCAUGUCAUCAUUAAAUCCAACUACCCUGACUCUGAAGAGACACCUCAGCUUGAACAUGAACCAGGGAGGUCAAGUGAUCUUCAGAUCCUUCACUACUGACCUUGAUGAAAUUUCCAUGAUUGUGGGAGGUGGUGGUAAACUACAGCUGGUGUUUGGUGACAUUCAGCAAACAUUCAGAACGCAGGACCUGGCAGGUUUCACCUAUGAUGACGUCAACAGUCUGAAGCAGCUGAUUGAUGUCUUGGGUGUGUAUGUGGAAGAGGACCCGUCCAGCCCCGACAGCUGGAAAGUGAGCGGAUUGAGGACAGGGGUCAACCAGUUUAUCCAGAUGAUCCAUAACCCUGUUUUUUAACCCAUAAGGGUUCUCUAAGAAGACAAAACAAAAACAGCGAGGCGACAAAAACAGGGGCCAUAGCAUACUUUAAAAUUAGUCAUUUUGGUUUCAUUUUUAUUUUGUAUCUAAUCUACAAUAUGACUUACUGUGCUUCCUGUCAUGUGCUGAAUAUUGUUGUGUCUGAAAUUGCACCAGUUUAACCUGGUAAAAAAAAACAAUAAUUAAUAACAAUAUUCCUUAUAUAAACAUCACUAUUAAAAUUGUCUUCAUUGCCACAUUAUAUUAAAUUUGAUUUUGGAUCCUGCACAAGGCAAAACUCGUGAGUGCUCUAUUUUAAGCUCCCACUGAACUAUUUAUGGCCACAGGGCAGCCUUGAACUAAAAGUGAAACAAACAAGAAUAGCUUAAUGCCAAAGGACAGCUUGAAGCCCAAAGUUUGGGCUUCAAGCUGUGCAAGGACUCUGGAUGUGAUAAGACAACAUCAGUCUGAUAGCAAGUGCAUAAACUCUCUUAAGGAAGAAAAAGGUAAGGAAUGACCUUGUGGUCAGGUCUGUACAUGACAGACCGGGGGGUCCUUGAGGUUGUUCACGUUGACUCUUGCCCAGUUGAAAAAGAUCUCAGCUCAGUUGAAGUCGUUUGGGAUGACUUUCGAAUUAAACAAAAAUUUAAGUUUGCUCAAAUUGCAUUGCAUUGCAUUGCAUUGCAUUCCUACCUUCUGGUAUCAGCUUUGUCUCUGUAUAAGGGAGUGAAGCUCCCACAUGAUGUUACAGUAAGUUACCUGUGGAUUGCUACAAAUGUAAGGAAUACAAACUAAAACUUAUGACAACUAGGAAAGAACCAACAAGGAGUGUGUGUAUGAUUUUAAAUAGUGAACCUGGAGUCAAGGUGUGGAUGAAUAGUCCAUAGCAAACACGAAGCAAUAUCAUAAGAUAAGACGAGAGAACAGGUAAACAACAUCACGUGCCACCACAGGCCUGAAGGACAAAUCAUAACACAAGUCACUUGACAAGGAUCAAGUUGUCCUUUUCUCUUUCACAAAAAAUCAUUAGCAAUAGUUAAUAGUAAAAGUUUUGCAAUAUUUUUUAAUGCACUCUUUGUUUUCAAAAGAGACAAUUAUUAAGAAAACAAUUAUUUUCCAGAGUUUUAUGGUUUUGUUGUGAUCAAGGAGGUACGGUUUGUUGUUUUAUGACCAAAGGAAGCAGAGCUGUAAGGAAAUGAAGGGGCCUUACUGUAUUUAGGAAAGCUGACUUUGGUCUUUGGACCAGUGGCCUUUCCAACACUCAACAGUGAGUGAUGUUAAAGAAUGCCUCAUGUUACAAGGUAUAUAAGCACAGUGUUCAUGGUGCUACUGUAUGAUGCAAGUAGUCUUCUCCACACACCUAAUACUGUGACUCAGCUUCCAACUUAAUAUAGAAGAAAUUCUACAUUACAAUAGCCUUUUUUUAUCAUAUUGUGGUCAUCAAUAACGUCUUAAACUUUGGGUGAUAUUUUUGUAUUGUACACAUAAACAAAUGUAGUUUAUUGAAAUUAUAAUAAAUGCUGAUUCUAUACAGUAGCUGCUAUUUGU